rnacentral:lncRNA from 1 species
AAUGCUUUAAGAAGUUCAAUUGUAAAAAUUAAAAACUUGCAACACUAAAAUAGACAAUAACAAUUACUCCUGACUAAAGGAAAUCAGGAUAGUGUCUUCAUCCUUCCAAUUAUUGAGUCUGUCACCAAUUGUUGGGAAAAUCCAGCUAUCCAGGUCGCAAUCGCUAUCAGCAUCUUCUACAGCAUUAAUUUGAUCUUUGACCAUUUUUUCAGAGCUAAA